GACAAACCGGAGGAAGGUGGGGAUGACGUCAAAUCAUCAUGCCCCUUAUGACCUGGGCUACACACGUGCUACAAUGGACGGUACAAAGAGCUGCAAGACCGCGAGGUGGAGCUAAUCUCAUAAAACCGUUCUCAGUUCGGAUUGUAGGCUGCAACUCGCCUACAUGAAGCUGGAAUCGCUAGUAAUCGCGGAUCAGCAUGCCGCGGUGAAUACGUUCCCGGGCCUUGUACACACCGCCCGUCACACCACGAGAGUUUGUAACACCCGAAGUCGGUGGGGUAACCUUUUUGGAGCCAGCCGCCUAAGGUGGGACAGAUGAUUGGGGUGAAGUCGUAACAAGGUAGCCGUAUCGGAAGGUGCGGCUGGAUCACCUCCUUUCUAUGGAGA
rnacentral:rRNA from 1 species